rnacentral:tRNA from 1 species
AGGUUAGAGUCCUCCCUACUGC